GACGUAGGAUGCGAGCGUUGUCCGGAUUUAUUGGGCGUAAAGAGUUCGUAGGCGGUUCGUUAAGUUCGAUGUUAAAGAUCGGGGCCCAACCCCGGGACUGCAUUGAAUACUGGCGGACUGGAGUGCAGUAGAGGCAAGUGGAAUUCCCAGUGUAGCGGUGAAAUGCGUAGAUAUGACAUAGAACACCAAUUGCGAAGGCAGCUGGCUACACAAUUAUUGACACUGAGGCUCGAAAGCGUGGGGAUCAAACAGG
rnacentral:rRNA from 1 species